rnacentral:rRNA from 1 species
UACGUAGGAGGCGAGCGUUUGUCCGGAGUACUGGGCGUAAAGCGUGCGCAGGCGGUAAUGUAAGACAGAUGUGAAAUCCCCGGGCUCAACCUGGGACCUGCAUUUGUGACUGCAUUGCUGGAGUGCGGCAGAGGGGGAUGGAAUUCCGCGUGUAGCAGUGAAAUGCGUAGAUAUGCGGAGGAACACCGAUGGCGAAGGCAAUCCCCUGGGCCUGCACUGACGCUCAUGCACGAAAGCGUGGGGAGCAAACAGG